CUCCAGCAAACUGUUUGUUGCUCCAGAGUCCAUCAUCUGCUGUCUCCUGUGCCUCGGGCAAGGUGGAGAAGGAGCUGGCUUCCUCCAGCAGGUAUCUAUUGUAAACGUCCACUUUAUGGGGAUAAUAUUCUUACAUUCCACCAUUCUUGUCCCCUUCAGAAUUCCAUGUACCUCAGUCAGGGCUUGUCCCAGCAUCUCCCUGGUGCCAUCUCACCUCCUGCCCACUGCCUGGGAAAUGCAGGCUCCACAAGUCUGCAGAGCUCCAGAUCAGUAACUCAACUUCCAAACUACCUCGGUGGCCGUGAAGCAUUUGAGAAAACGCCGCAUCCACAAAAGAUGCUGAAGAGGAGCCACUCUCUCCCACUCGCCCCCAAACCCCGUCCCACCUCUCACAACACCUACAGCACCAGGACUGGCAGGAACUGCAGGCACACCUAGUACGGUGACAUCCCCCUAUUGACACGCCGAAGCAAUGAUCCUAGAUUCAACUUCACUCAGCUUAUUGCAUCACAACCCGCUGUAGCAAAUCCAGCACAUAGGGGCGCAAGAAGCUGCAGAGAGUAGUGGGCACAGCCCAGUCCCCACCACUGACAGCAUCUACAGGAGGGGCUAUCUAUCAUCAAGGAUCCAGGCCUCGUUCUCUUCCCGCUGCUCCCAGCAGGCAGGAGCUUAAAGUCCCACAUCUCAAGGUUCAGGAACAGCUGCAACCAUCAGGUUCUCGAACUGACCUUCACAACCCUAACUCUGCCUCAGCGAUGGAACAUUACAGUCCCCUUGCACGACCACGGGCUUGUGUCUUCUUUUACAGGAGGAACGGAGGCAGGCUCGCCCCGACCAACAUCAAAUGGGACUGCAGUUGAGAGGACCGUGGCUCCUCCCACUGACCCCGUGUGGUGAACUACAUAUACCCGUCUGGACACGCCUCCUGCUGACUGCUCCUGUGGCUCCUCCCACAGACCCCGUGUGGUGAACUACAUAUACCUGUCUGGACAGGCCCCCUGCUGACUGCUCCUGUGGCUCCUCCCACAGACCCCGUGUGGUGAACUACAUAUACCUGUCUGGACACGCCCCCCGCUGACUGCUCCUGUGGCUCCUCCCACAGACCCCGUGUGGUGAACUACAUAUACCUGUCUGGACACGCCCCCUGCUGACUGCUCCUGUGGCUCCUCCCACAGACCCCGGUAUAAAGGUGUUUGAGGUCUGAACCCGGCCUCUCAGUCUCCAGGAUGUAGUAUGGUGGUCACUCACUGCUUGUUCCUUCUUCCAGUCAAUAAAAACCGAUAUCUCGCCUCACGUCUCAGAGUGAGUUAUUGAUGGUGCAUCAAUCUCGUCUGGACUGUAGCAAAAAAAGCACAAUGGCCUCUCUUACACCUCGGGCGACUGAGGAAGUUCGACGUGAGUCCCUAAAUCCUCAAGACCUUCUACAGGGGCACCAUAGAGAGCCUCCUGACUGGCUGUAUCACCGCCUGGUACAGGAACUGCACCAACCUUGAUCACCGGGCACUGCAGAGGCACUGCAGACAGCCCAGGGCAUCUGUGGAUGUGAACUUCCCUCCAUUGAGGGCAUUUACAACAGCAGGUGCGUAAAGAAGGCCUGGAGGAUCAUCGGGGACACCAGUCACCCCGACCAUAAACUGCUUCAGCUGUUUCCGUCUGACAAAUGGUAUUGCAGAGUUAAAGCCGGGACUGACAGGCUACGGGACGACUUCUUUCUUCAAGCCAUUAGACUUAUAAAUCCACAUGUCUGUACAUUGCAAUGGAGUCAUAACGCAAAGAUUUUUACUCCCUCAUGUUGUGGGACUGUUGUAAGAUUUAAAUAAAUUCAGUUCAAUUCAAAUUCUUUUCUUUUUGCACUAAUCCUUUGUUCUGCAGUCUUUUAUUCUUCACAGUUCUUCAUUUACGUCAAGCAUAUUGUCUGAAUCUACGAGUCUGUGAUGCCAUUGUUUUUCAUCAUUCCAGU